AAACAAGAGUUGCAAGUGGAACACUUGUGCUUCCUGCCUUCUGCAAACUAAGUAUUUUUACAGCAGUGUAUCUGCAGUACUCAAGGAAUCUCCUUGAACAGAAAGACAGUGGCAGUUCACUUUAUUUAACAGGCAUCCAGCCUGGAUCUCAGCUGCAAAGGAGAAAAGUUAUUGAGUCGGUCUUGCCUGGAGUGCUGGCCCUGCUGGACUCAACCCACUUGCCAUCCAGUGGAUUAAAGCUGAGACCCAAGCCACCAGCAAGCUUUUCCUGGAACAGCACAUAAUCUACUGGCAUUUUGGAUCUGCAGGAGAAAACCAGAAUGUUUCCACCAUCAAAGGUCUCUUGAGUUGUUGAAAGAAGGCUGGAACAGUCCUGGUUUUUGGACUUUCUUUUCUUAAGAGCCACAUCAAUACUUUCAGUUCUGUCCUCUUCAUGCCCAGCUGUGACAAGGUGGGAGCUGGAAGCUUCUUAUUGUUGCACAGAGGAGCUGGGGUAUAUUCCUGGUACUGGCAGAAAUUUCUGAACCCCAGAUUUGCCAACUAAUCCUUAAAAAUGCUUUCUGGUGAAGACAGACACAUGAAUCUUACAGUGUGGUUCUUGAGAAGGCACUUUGAAAAUGGGAUUUACUGUUGAGGUGGAACACCACAGGCUGUCACACCACUAAGCUGAGAGUAAACAGAGAAGAAAGCCUACAUGAGAAUGCCAUGAAAGUGGAUAUAAAUGAGGGAGGGAGUAAAGUCUUGCAUCCAAACAGAGUUUAGCAUUUGCCUGUAACAUGCAGGUGCUUUGCCAGCAUGAAGAACAGAAAUGAGAAGUGAAAAUCUACAUCUCCAUGUUCAUCUUUCAGCAGGCUUCCAGGCAUGCACAUUUCGUUCAAAAUCACUACCAAGCUGUUUAUGAUACAUCUGUGCCAACUGCAAUGUUUUAUGUAGUCAUUGAAGCCAAAUCACUGUGACCUGAUGUGACUCAGUUUUCUAAAAGGGUGCAUCUUGAGAAUUCUCAUUUUCUUCAGUUCAAAGUGAAACACUAGGAAAAGUGUUGGAAUGGAUCUGAAAACAGUGCAGCAUUCUUAUGCAGAGGCAAGACUGCCAUUCAGGCAAACACCAGAAGAAAAUCUGUCUUGGGUGUGUUUUUCAAAAUGAGUCUGAAAUGUUCAUUGGAAAAGUGUCAGGAAUAUGAGACUUAAAUGAACUCAUUUACAU